rnacentral:rRNA from 1 species
ACGGGAGGCAGCAGUGAGGAAUAUUGGUCAAUGGAGGCAACUCUGAACCAGCCAUCUCGCGUGAAGGAAUACGGCCCUACGGGUCUUAAACUUCUUUUAUAGGGGGAUAAAGUGAGCCACGUGUGGCUUUUUGUAGGUACCCUAUGAAUAAGCAUCGGCUAACUCCGUGCCAGCAGCCGCGGUAAUACGGAGGAUGCGAGCGUUAUCCGGAUUUAUUGGGUUUAAAGGGUGCGCAGGCGGGAUGUCAAGUCAGUGGUGAAAUGGUGCGGCUCAACCGUAGCAUUGCCGUUGAAACUGGCGUCCUUGAGUGCGAAUGAGGUACGCGGAACGUGUCAUGUAGCGGUGAAAUGCAUAGAUAUGACACAGAACACCGAUUGCGAAGGCAGCGUACUGGGACGCGACUGACGCUGAGGCACGAAAGUGCGGGGAUCGAACAGGAUUAGAUACCCUGGUA